rnacentral:rRNA from 1 species
GGAUAACCGUAGUAAUUCUAGAGCUAAUACAUGCGAUUAAACCUGACUCUUGGAAAGGUUUGUAUUUAUUAGAUAUCAAACCAGUAGUCUUUUCGGGAUUAUUGUGAUGAUUCAUAAUAACUGAUCGGAUCAAGGAGUUCCUUGAUAGAUCAUUCAAGUUUCUGCCCUAUCAGCUUUUCGAUGGUAGUGUAUUGGACUACCAUGGCAGUCACGGGUAACGGAGAAUUAGGGUUCGAUUCCGGAGAGGGAGCCUGAGAAACGGCUACCACAUCUACGGAAGGCAGCAGGCGCGUAAAUUACCCAAUCCUGAUUCAGGGAGGUAGUGACAAGAAAUAACAACUCGGGCAUUUUUAAUGCUUCGAAUUUGCAAUGGGAACAAUCUAAAUCACUUAUCGAGGAACAAUUGGAGGGCAAGUCUGGU